CAGCCGCGGUAAUUCCAGCUCCGAUAGCGUAUAUUAGUGUUGUUGCGGUUAAAAAGCUCGUAGUUGAAUUUCGGGAUUGGGAUAUAUUGGUCGUGCUUUUAGGGGCAUGAAUCGGUGUGUAGCCAAUUUCUUACCUUCUGGUGAAUUGGGAUGCUUCUUAAUUGGGUGUUUCAAUGAACUAGGACCUUUACUUUGAAAAAAUUAGAGUGUUUAAAGCGGGCAUUUUUGCUUGAAUACAUUAGCAUGGAAUAAUAAAAUAGGGCGGUGUUCUAUUUUGUUGGUUUUAGGACCACGUAAUGAUUAAUAGGGAUAGUUGGGGGCAUUAGUAUUCAAUUGUCAGAGGUGAAAUUCUUGGAUUUAUUGAAGACUAACUACUGCGAAAGCAUUUGCCAAGGAUGUUUUCAUUAAUCAAGAACGAAAGUUAGGGAUCGAAGACGAUCAGAUACCGUCGUAGUCUUAACCUUAACCAUAAACUAUGCCGACUAGGGGAUCGGAUGAUGUUAAUUUUUAUAAUGACUCAUUUGGCACCUUACGGGAAAC
rnacentral:rRNA from 1 species